ACCCAGCGCCACGCCCCCGCCCUCUUCCGAUUGGCCCAAAGGCGCGCCGCCCGCGCCUUCCUCUCCCGCCUCUUCCUGGCAUGGCCACGCGGGGGCGCCCCAGAGCCCCGAAUAUAAAUGUCUGCGCCGGCGCGCCGAGCGCCCUCUUGGAACUGAGCGGCGGGAGUUGACCCUGCAAAGAGAAGAGGAUUUUGUUCAGGUCGGUUUAUACCUUAGGAUUCUGGAAACAUUUGCACAGUACUGAGAAGAGAGGCUGAAGCCAGGCCCAACUGUCUCCUGCAGAGAAGAGGGGUGGGAUCCAGGGCCCCUUUCCAGGCCGGGACCCGGGAGUUUUGCAAAAGCCGUUAGACAAUAGCAUGUUUUGCUUAAAACCUGUAUUCACAAAAUAAAAGCAUUGAGAAAAACCUUGA